rnacentral:rRNA from 1 species
AGCAGCCGCGGUAAUUCCAGCUCCAAUAGCGUAUAUUAAAGUUGUUGCAGUUAAAAAGCUCGUAGUUGAAUUUCGGGGUCAGUAGGUUGGUCGUGCCACUGGUAUGUACUGGCCUCACUGAUUCCUCCUUCCUGAUGAACCGUAAUGCCAUUAAUUUGGUGUUGCGGGGAAUCUGGACUGUUACUUUGAAAAAAUUGAGUGUUUAAAGCAGGCUAACGCUUGAAUACAUUAGCAUGGAAUAAUGGAAUAGGACGUUCGAUCCUAUUUGUUGGUUUCUAGGAUUGACGUAAUGAUUAAUAGGGAUAGUUGGGGGCAUUAGUAUUCAAUUGUCGGAGGUGAAAUUCUUGGAUUUAUUGAAGACUAACUACUGCGAAAGCAUUUGCCAAGGAUGUUUCAUUAAUCAAGAACGAAAGUUAGGGAUCGAAGACGAUCAGAUACCGUCGUAGUCUUAACCAUAAACUAUGCCGACUAGGGAUCGGAUGAUGUUAAUUUUUAUGACUCAUUCGGCGCCUUAAC